rnacentral:lncRNA from 1 species
UUGGAGAACCGGUAGUGGAAUAACACCAACAACGUCUCAAAACAGGGGAUUCAAAGGAAUUUCGCAAUGUGCCUAAAUCCUCCUUGCGAAAUUUUCGCAAUGUGAAAUUCACAUUGCGAAAUGGCAAAAUUUCGCACCAUGAAGAAAAUCUCCUUGCGAAAUUGGUCAUUUGACAUGAUGCAGUUGCCUUCCAAAGGCCAUAUCUUCCUCAUUUCAGCUCCAAAUCAUACACGGUUUGAAGCGUUGGAUUCUUGACUUCCUGAGCUUUCAAAUG